rnacentral:rRNA from 1 species
UACCAGCACCCCGAGUGGUCGGGACGUUUUAUUGGGCCUAAAGCAUCCGUAGCCGGUUCUACAAGUCUUCCGUUAAAUCCAACUGCUUAACAGGUGGGCUGCGGAAGAUACUAUAGAGCUAGGAGGCGGGAGAGGCAAGCGGUACUCGAUGGGUAGGGGUAAAAUCCGUUGAUCCAUUGAGGACCACCAGUGGCGAAGGCGGCUUGCCAGAACGCGCUCGACGGUGAGGGAUGAAAGCUGGGGGGAGCAAACCGG